rnacentral:sRNA from 1 species
AUGAGAUCAAAAACAUGUAAGCAAGUGGUUGGCUGGUCAUGUACAGGUGAUUCAUGUAACACAUGUAUAAACAACUUAAACGCCUUUAAGAAUGAGAAAACAGACGUGAUAGAUCUGAAUAAAGUUGAUGAGGAGGAUUUGAAAAAAAAUUUAAAACAAGUAUUUCCUGGAGCCUCACAAGAAAUGCAAGAUUUUCUCCGUAGCCAGCAUGACAUUUUAAAUUCAUCAAAGAUUACUUGGGACAAGUCAGUUAUAAAAACAUGUUUAAGUUUGUGGUCUCGCAGUGUUAAAUGUUAUGAGCAGUUAAGGGACAGUAAUAUUUUCAAAUUGCCCUCUGGUCGCCAAUUAAGAAGAUAUAAAAGCAGUGUAGAGCAGAAACCUGGGGUAAACAAUGAUGUAUUCAGAUGGAUGCGAAAUACCGCCAUACAAGUAAAUGUACCUCCUUCUGGCUAUCAUGGCGGCCUGCUCCACGAUGAAGCAAAAAUUCAAGAAGAUUCGGUAUUAAAUGUGAAGGGAGAAAGAUCUGAACUUGUGGGUUGGAUCGAUACAGGAAGUGAGGCUGAAAACUUGAGGAUUGUAAAGGAAAACAAAGUAAGUAGAAAGCUGGCAACAGAUGUGUUACAAAUAACAUUUCUUGGGUACACGGGAUUCCGAUUUCCGAUUGCCCACUACCCAACAGAUGGAGUAAAAGCCUCUGAGCUAUAUAUCAUAAUUUGGGAUUUGAUUUCUCAAUUACAGUCGUGGGGGUUCAUAGUAGACUUUAUAAUGCAAGACGGGGGACAACAAAACAGAGAGUUCACGAGGCUUCACUUUACCGGUGAACCCAGAAAGAACCACUUUAUGUGCGACAGUUUGGUACAUCCUGACAGGAAGGUUUAUCACUGUCAGGAUUUCUCACAUAACAUGAAAAAAUUGCGGAAUGCAGUUUUGAGUAGUGGAAUUAAUACUUACAAUACAAAAUUGUUAAACAAGAAAGGUAAUGUAAUAGUUUGGGAGCAGUGGUUAAAUGCUGCCCGAUGGGACGAACAAACAAAUUCGCGAAAAAUCCAUUACAAGCUUAGUAAUUAUCAUCUUCAUCCAGAUUCAGGUGAAAAGAUGCGCAAUCAUCUUGCUGAAGAAGUUCUCAACGAGGAUAUGCUUCAGCUUAUGAAGUCAUACCAGAACUCAUUAAUCAAUGGUGAUGUUUUAAACAGUGCCAUUGACUUACUUCAACAGACCAGCAAACUUAUAACGGUAUUUAGAGAUCCUCGUCCAGUGACCGAUAUACACGACGCAAGAUUGAACAUUUUAAAUCAUGUUCUGGAUUGGUUCAAUAACUGGAGAAAUGAAAUCAAACAAAUAAAGAAAACACCAAAGGAUCUCGAGAGGAUGCUUCCCAGCAUUAAAUGCUUAGACGAUGUUGAAAGCAUGAUAGUCGUCUUUACAAGAGUGUGCCGAAUCCAUAUAACUGAAUUUAAAGGACGUGGGGUAUAUCCUAGUAGGUUUAAUUCUGACCUUGCAGAAAAUAUUUUCUGCCAACAACGGGGACUGUACAAUGGUAAUUCCACGAAUCCGAAUUAUCAUGUAUAUUGCAACACAAUGAACAGCGUAAUAUUAGGUCAGACCACUAAGUCAAGAGCCAGAAAAUCUAACGCAGGUUUACCUACUACUGAUCCGUAUUCUUUUCAUGUUAAUGUACCUCUAUCAAAGAAAAAGAAAACACUAUGCCGAAUUUAG